GACGUAGGGCGCGAGCGUUGUCCGGAUUUACUGGGCGUAAAGAGCGCGCAGGCGGUCGGUCAAGUCGAGUGUGAAAGCCCCCGGCUCAACUGGGGAGGGUCACUCGAUACUGAUCGACUUGAAGGCAGGAGAGGGAAGCGGAAUUCCCGGUGUAGUGGUGAAAUGCGUAGAUAUCGGGAGGAACACCAGUGGCGAAGGCGACUCCCUGGCCUGUUCUUGACGCUGAGGCGCGAAAGCUAGGGGAGCAAACGGG
rnacentral:rRNA from 1 species